GCCUGCCCAGUGAUUCUUCAACGGCCGCGGGAUCCUACACCGUGCAAAGGUAGCAUAAUCACUUGUCAUCUAAAUAAUGACUAGUAUGAAUGGCCCCAUGAGGACCUUCCUGUCUCUUGUAACCAAUCAAUGAAACUGAUCUUUCAGUUCAAAAGCUGAAAUAAACCCACAAGACGAAAAGACCCUGUGGAACUUUCAAGUAUUCACCAUCACUAUGACAAAAUACUUUUAGUUGGGGCAACUUUGGAACAAAACAAAACUUCCAACUAUAGGACAAAACUACCCUAAUAUAGGUCCACCCACCACGCUUUUCCUAAAUCCGACCCAGCACCGCUGAUUAAAGAAACAAGCUACCCCAGGGAUAACAGCGCCAUCCCCUCUUAGAGUCCCAAUCGACGAGCGGGGCUUACGACCUCGAUGUUGGAUCAGGGCCCCCAAACAGUGCAGCAGCUGUUAACGGUUUGUUUGUUCAACAAUUAAUGCCCUACGUGAUCUG
rnacentral:rRNA from 1 species